GAUGAACGCUGGCGGCGUGCCUAAUACAUGCAAGUCGAGCGAACAGACGAGGAGCUUGCUCCUCUGACGUUAGCGGCGGACAGGUGAGUAACACGUGGAUAACCUACCUAUAAGACUGGGAUAACUUCGGGAAACCGGAGCUAAUACCGGAUAAUAUAUUGAACCGCAUGGUUCAAUAGUGAAAGACGGUUUUGCUGUCACUUAUAGAUGGAUCCGCGCCGCAUUAGCUAGUUGGUAAGGUAACGGCUUACCAAGGCGACGAUGCGUAGCCGACCUGAGAGGGUGAUCGGCCACACUGGAACUGAGACACGGUCCAGACUCCUACGGGAGGCAGCAGUAGGGAAUCUUCCGCAAUGGGCGAAAGCCUGACGGAGCAACGCCGCGUGAGUGAUGAAGGUCUUCGGAUCGUAAAACUCUGUUAUUAGGGAAGAACAAAUGUGUAAGUAACUAUGCACGUCCUGACGGUACCUAAUCAGAAAGCCACGGCUAACUACGUG
rnacentral:rRNA from 1 species